UUGUAAAACCAUGAAGAGGAACAUCAUAAGAGGAAGCCUGAGACAUCUCUGUAAUAACUUCUCAUCAAAUGACUCUUAAGUUUGAGGAAUCACAUCCACAUGAUGUUGUGAACGCAUCUGUGAUUCAGAAAAGUACAAUUCAUCGUGUCUCAACAGGGUUGCUGUCAUAAAGGGAAUGAUUCAGCUUGAGAUUCAGUGUGUGACAUCCAAGGUGCAACUUAACCCCCCUACAGAUCCCAAAUCAAGAUUCUCUGUUUCCACUCGACAUGUUCUCCUUCCGUGGUAAUUACGGCAAAGGAUGUGAUUAGAGCACGCUGCUGCUUCAGUUAAAUGGUUAAUGGCUGGCUGUUGCACUGUUAUGUGUUAUAAUGUAAAAAGUAACAUUAUACUGUGACUUGUGCUGUGAGAAAAAUGCUGCAGUGAAAAGGGCCAGUUGGACUCUAUGUCAGGUGAAUGAAUACAUUUGGAUGGUAAUCAAAAACAGA